AAAUAAUUACUUUUUCACCGGUUUACACAUAGUGUGAUAUUCAACAGGCUUUAAUGCACGGACUGUAUCCUUAAAUAUAGAAAGAGGACAGAUCGUAUCAUUGCCUUUGUAUCCUUGACCUCGACAUGCACCCAUCACUACAGGGGUUGAAUUGUAGGUAAUUCGGACAUACCAAUCAGACAUAUCUCUAGCAGAAUUAGACGCAGCAACGAUAGCACUAUUGCUGGCAUCUGUAGACUCAUCGGAAAACAACUUCAAAUCUGUCGUCUUAUUAUCGCCGCUUUGAUU